AAAAAAAAAAAGGGGAAGUCUAAUUACUUAUGAAUUCCUCAGAUAAGGAGUAUUGCCUCUGGAUGGUCCACUUGAUAGCCACCAGGUGAUCUUUGCUCUCCUCAGUUCUCAGUCCUUGGAUAUUGUUAGGGACAAACUGCCCAAAGAAAGCUUCUUUGGUGCUGCCCACCCCUCCCCCUAAUGCUCUGCAACUCUUCUCUGUGCCACCCACCCUUCCCCAAGUCUCUUUACAUUUCUAAGCCCUUAUCAAGGGCCAUGGUGAAGCCAGCCGACUUUCACUUAUCAGACCUUGCUGCGAUAAGCAAACCCCAAUUACAAACCACUCAGACCGCAUAGGGGAAGGUUGUGGGAAGCAUAAACAAACUUUACCUACACCCUCCUGUAAUAAACGUCACAAGGUGAUAUGUGGCAAAAUUAACCAGCAAACAACCCCAGGAUGCGGCCAUACCAAAGAACUCCCUCAAGCUACUUUCCCCAAUAUAAACCCCUCAUUCUUCUCUCCCCUUCCCUGAACCUGCCGAAGUCCCAGAGAAUCUCCUAGACUCUCCCACUGCUGACGACUUCAUCCACCAUCAAAGCCUCCGCCAGGCUCCUCGGCCUAGCCACUGAAGACUGACAAGGCCCAGGGCCCCUGGCCCCCACUGCCAUCACUGCAUGGAGCCCAGUGUAACUCUACUGGUAGCAGUUUUUACAGGACCCUAUCAGCGCUUUCACCCACGGGACAAUACAAAAUAUGAUGCUGCUCCAGGAAUACCAGAGGCUCCAAGAACAGCAGUCCCUACCGUCCAGCCUUCCCCGACAACUGUCGCCCUCUCCCAGUAAGAAGCAGCCAGAUGAUAACAGCACCCCUCUUCCAUUACCUAUUAAAAGUCUGGCAUGAGAGGGACAACUGCCCCGAGAAAGCUUCUUUGUGCUGCCCACCCCUCCCCCAAUGCUCUGCAAUUCUUCUCCAUGCCGCCCACCCUUCCCCAAGCCUCUUUACGUUUCUAAGCCCUUAUGUAGUCGCUACGGUGAAGCCAACAGACUUCACUUAUCAGACCUUGCUGCGAUAAGCAAACCCCAAUAACAAACCAUCCAGACCGCACAGGGGGAGGUUGUGGGAAGCACAAACAAACUUUACUACACCCUCCUGUAAUAAAUGUCACAAGGUGAUAUGUGGCAAAAUUAACCAGCAAACAACCCUGGGAUGCAACCAUACCAAAAAACUCCCUCAAACUUCCCUCCCCAAUAUAAACCCCUCAUUCUGUAAGCUUGGUGCUGCUUCCCUUGACUAUUAAGGGGGCAGCCGACAGGUUAAUAAAAACUUGCUCACCUGA
rnacentral:lncRNA from 1 species